rnacentral:rRNA from 1 species
AGUGAACGCUGGCGGUAUGCCUAACACAUGCAAGUCGAACGGCAGCACAGUAAUAGCUGGCUCGUACGGUGGGCGAGUGGCGGACGGGUGAUGAGUACCUCGGAAUCUACUUUUUCGUGGGGGAUAGCGAAUGGAAACUUACGCUAAUACCGCAUACGACCUACGGGUGAAAGCAGGGGAGCUUCGUACCUUUCGCGUUUGAAUGAGCCGAUGUCGGAUUAGAUAGUUGGCGGGGUAAAGGCCCACCAAGGCGACGAACCGUAGCUGGUCUGAGAGAAGGAUAGCCGACCUUGGAAGUGAGACGCGGACCCGAGUCCUGCGGGAGGCAGCAGUGGGGAAUAGGGGGCAAUAGGGGCAAGCAUGGUCCGACCAUCCCGAGUCGGAGACAGAGGCCCUCGGGUUGUAAAGACCGUUUGUUGGGAAAGAAAAGCAGCCGGUUAAUAAGAAGCUGUUCUGACGGUACCCGCAGAAUAAGCACCGGCUAACUACGUG